CCGGCUCUGGCUCCGCGGAGGCGGCCUCCGCCAUGUCUCCCUCCGAGGAGGGAGCGGCCCGGGCAGCCGCAUCACGCCGGCCCCGCCUCCCCCGCUCGUCUCCAUUGCGCAUGCUUCAACUUUGCUCGCACCGGCGCAGCUUCCAGGCGGAGCCUCUUAGCGAGCCCCUAGCAACGGUUGCUAUGUGCAGCGAUCCUCAUUCAUUAUUUGAGUGUGUGGUUUGGCUACUGCCUUCCGCCUUUCCCCGGGCGCUUCCCAAGGCGGCUUACGGUGAAAGUAGUCAGACAGCCCAAAAAGCGCAGUGUGAAAAGAAAUAAGCAGUCCUAUACAAAUAAUAAAGCAGAGGAGACCGUGGAGAGGCUGCCUGCCCUGCUGCUGUGCCAGCAAGAUGAAUGCUUGAGUCUCAAGCCAGAGUGCGGGUUGACUUGGGGCAGGACCCUGGAGGAGGGGUUUCCCCAAUAUUUGUUACUAUAUCAAGCCAUUGCAAAUUGUUGCGACUAGGCUUGUUUUCAAGAGUCAGUUGGCCAGUCUCCAGAAAAAGGCAUUUGAGCCAAAGCCCUGUUGUUUUUGGGAGCUUUGCCACCUGUGCUCUGAAGAAGGGUUGCUAGAUUUGGGAGGGCUAAGGAAUGUAUUAAAAAGAGCACUCCAAAGAUGCUCAGAGGGACUCCUCUCCAGGCAGCUUACAGAGGGAAAUGAAUUCUUCCCUGCUAAGGCAUGAUGUUCUCUAACUCUACCCUAAUAAUUAUCAGGGGCUGUCCCCGUGUUCGCCUUUUGGAGAGUGGCUUAUUCAACUGUGAUUAGUGUGUGUUGCUUGAGUUGCUCUCCAGGGCUCAGCUCCCGCUCCUCUGUCUCUAGAAGUUAAAUCUCUGGCUGGAUGCAUUUUGUCUCUGAUGAGCAGGCAUCUACUUCAAAAGGUCAUGUAGCCGGCAGCCUGCCAUUUCACAUGCUGCUGAGCAGCUGAGGCUUGUUUGGAGCUGUCAAUCAUUUACAGACAGUAGGACAACUAGGUUUUUGUAGCAUGUUUUUAAUCUAAAAGCCAACACAUGCCGGGCUUUUAAAUCAGCAGAGGAUAGGUCUGAGCAAAUGAGCACAGCAGAAUGAGCCUCCAGCCCGUAAUCCUUGGCAUGGGAAUAGGUUUAUCAACAGAUGCUGUAAGGAAGGGAUGGAAAGAAAUAUGAAGAUGUGCAUUGUGGGGAAAUAAGUCACUCUUGCCUCGUGCAGUCUCAGGGAUGUGCCAGCAAUCUAGAGAGCUUCCCAAAGUGCAUGCAUACUUGCAAGGACACAUCCAUCCCACAGGCGCUUGAUUUUUAAAGAGAGAUGUCAUGGGUGGAACUUGCCACAAAGACCCACUGUCUGCCAUGGAAGCCCUUCUCCCUGAUCCCACAUGAGUGUCAGAGGGUUGGCUACAGAGGUGUGCACCUGCUUUUGACACUACAAGUGCAUUCCACAACCCAGGGGGACAGCUGAGAAGGCCCGAUCUCAGGUUGCCACUUGAUGAACUGGUAGCACCCAAAGACCGACCCCUCGUGAUGAUCUUAAGGAGCGGUGGGGACCUUGUAGAGAAAGGCACUCUCUCAGGUAACCUGGACCGAAGUCAUUCAGGGCUUUACAGGUAAUUACCAGCAUUUUAUACUUUGCCCAGAAACAUAUUGGCAGCCAGUGCAACUGUUGAACAGGCAUAAUGUGAACAGGCAUAAUGUGGUCUCUCCAAGAUACCCCAGAGAUUGUAUUGUUUAUUGUUAAAUUUAUACCCCACCUUUCAUUAAGAAAAUCCCAAUCUGACUGCCACGUUUUGAACUGACGCAAGUUUCUGAACUAUGUACAAAAGCAGCCCUACAUAGAUAGAGCGCAUUGCAGUAGUCCAGACUGGAAGUUACCAGCUGAUGCACCACUGUUUUUAGGUUAUUCUCCUCAAGGAACGGGCGGAGUUGUUGAAUCAACCACAGCUGCUAAAAGCAUUCUUGGCCACAGCCACAACCUCACACCAUGGUGAGACCCAAGUCCAAGAGCACUCCCAAGCUAUAAAACUGUCCUUUCUGGGGGAGUGUAACCUCAUCCAGCACAGGAAGUUCUAUCUCGUCUUGCAGAUGAUGACCCCACAACAAUGAGGACCUCCCUCUUGCUUGGAUUCAGUUUCAGUUUAUUAUCCCAUCAUGCAGCCCAUUACUACCUGUAGGCAGGUAUUUGAGGGGCUAAUGCCAUUUCCUGAUAUCAAUGACGAGAAACAGAUUUGGGUGUCAUCAGCAUACUGAUAACACCCAGCACCAAAUUUCCUGAUGGCCUCACUCAGCGGUUUCAUGAGGAUGUUAAAAAGCAUUGGUGACAGAAGGGAGCCCUGAGGAACUCCAUAUAGGAACUCCCGUUUUGAGGAGCAGCUGUCACCAAGUUUCAACAUCUGGAAUCUUCCCAAGACAAAGGAGUAGAACCAUUGUAAAACAGUGCCUCCUCUCCCCAAAUCCCUCAGGCGAUACUAUUGUUUGUUUGUCUGUCUAUUGUUUGUUUUACAAUAUCCCGCUCUUGCUCCAAGGAGCCCAGAGCAGUGUAUUACAUAGGUUUCUCUUCACAACAACCCUGUGGUCGAUGGUACCGGAAAGCCACUGAGAGAUCCAAGGGAACUAGCAGAGUCACAGUUUCCUGGCAAAGGUCAUCUAUCAGGCCAACCAAGGCCAUCUUUAGCCCACCCUAAAGCCAGUUUGAAAUGGGUCUGGAUAAUCAGUUUCCUCCAACUUACUGCUUGGAGUUGGUCAGCCUACUUCAGCAGAUGCAUGAAGUGUUUUUAUUUAUUUUUUGUUUGGUUGGAAACUGGCCACUUUCAGGUCGUCAGCAGCAGAGCAUCCUGAACCGUUCUCCCACUGGUUUCUGACUCUUGCCAUUUCUUUGUCAGAUUUAUUUUAUGCUUUUGCAUAGAGAUGCCUGUGUGCAUUUGCAGGAGUGCUGAGCAUGGGGUGGGACAUACACCUCACUGUUGUCCUAGUGACCCAUUGCCAUCUCAUACCGUCUAUUUGCAAAAGAUGUGGCGCCCCCGGCUUCUUUACUGCUUUGGAUGUUGAGGGUUGAACCGGGCUUUGGUGCAGAUGUGGAUUCUGCUCUUGUUGGACAGGCGACUUGGAGUCUUUGACCUUGCUGCUUUCUAAGCUUCUAUGACCAUGAGGUGCUAUAAGAGAGCAAAACAGAAAGAUUGGGGAUAGAAAGCAAAGCAAUACAUCCUUCUCCUUGUUUUGUGCUAGCCUUUUGUCAGCGGCAGAUCAGAGGACAGAAGAAGCACCUUACUGGACCAGGCCUAGGGUUGCCAACUGUCCCUCAUUACGCAGGCUGUCCCUCAUUUCAGGGAUGAAAUGUUGGUCCCUAGAGGGACAACAUUUGUCCCUCAUUUAUUCAAUAGCAUAUAAUUCAAUUACAUAGACGUCAGUGAUACUCAACCUCUUGAUUACCACUGCA